GGCCGACUAGCUCAGUUGGUUAGAGCGUGGUGCUAAUAAGUUACGCCAAGGUCGUCGGUUCGACCCCGGCGUUGGCCA